rnacentral:rRNA from 1 species
GNAGCGGCAGACGGGUGAGUAACACGUGGGUAACGUGCCUUUUGGAUCGGAACAACUGAGGGAAACUUCAGCUAAUGCCGGAUAAGCCCUUACGGGGAAAGAUUUAUCGCCAAAAGAUCGGCCCGCGUCUGAUUAGCUAGUUGGUGGGGUAAUGGCCCACCAAGGCGACGAUCAGUAGCUGGUCUGAGAGGAUGAUCAGCCACACUGGGACUGAGACACGGCCCAGACUCCUACGGGAGGCAGCAGUGGGGAAUAUUGGACAACGGGCGCAAGCCUGAUCCAGCCAUGCCGCGUGAGUGAUGAAGGCCUUAGGGUUGUAAAGCUCUUUCGUCGGGGAAGAUAAUGACGGUACCCGAAGAAGAAGCCCCGGCUAACUUCGUGCCAGCAGCCGCGGUAAUACGAAGGGGGCUAGCGUUGCUCGGAAUCACUGGGCGUAAAGCGCACGUAGGCGGACUUUUAAGUCAGGGGUGAAAUCCUGGAGCUCAACUCCAGAACUGCCUUUGAUACUGGGAGUCUUGAGUCCG